UACGAAGGGGGCUAGCGUUGCUCGGAAUCAUUGGGCGUAAAGGGUGCGUAGGCGGCGCGGGAAGUCGGGUGUGAAAUCUCGGAGCUUAACUCCGAAACUGCAUUCGAUACUGCCGUGCUUGAGGACUGGAGAGGAGACUGGAAUUUACGGUGUAGCGGUGAAAUGCGUAGAUAUCGGAAGGAACACCAGUGGCGAAGGCGGCUACCUGGCAUGAUACUGACACUGAGGCGCGGAGAGCGUGGGGAGCAAACAGGG
rnacentral:rRNA from 1 species